GGGUGAGUAACGCGUGAGCAACCUGCCUAUGACAGUGGGAUAGCCUCGGGAAACCGGGAUUAAUACCGCAUAAAAUCGUAGAAACACAUGUUUUAACGGUCAAAGAUUUAUCGGUCAUAGAUGGGCUCGCGUCUGAUUAGCUAGUUGGUGAGAUAACAGCCCACCAAGGCGACGAUCAGUAGCCGGUCUGAGAGGAUGAACGGCCACAUUGGAACUGAGACACGGUCCAAACUCCUACGGGAGGCAGCAGUGGGGAAUAUUGCACAAUGGGGGAAACCCUGAUGCAGCGACGCCGCGUGAACGAAGAAGGUAUUCGUAUCGUAAAGUUCUGUCCUAUGGGAAGAUAAUGACAGUACCAUAGAAGAAAGCUCCGGCUAAAUACGUGCCAGCAGCCGCGGUAAUACGUAUGGAGCGAGCGUUGUCCGGAAUUAUUGGGCGUAAAGGGUACGCAGGCGGUUUAAUAAGUCGAAUGUUAAAGAUCGGGGCUCAACCCCGUAAAGCAUUGGAAACUGAUAAACUUGAGUAGUGGAGAGGAAAGUGGAAUUCCUAGUGUAGUGGUGAAAUACGUAGAUUUUAGGAGGAAUACCAGUAGCGAAGGCGACUUUCUGGACACAAACUGACGCUGAGGUACGAAAGCGUGGGGAGCAAACAGGAUUAGAUACCCUGGUAGUCCACGCCGUAAACGAUGAAUGCUAGGUGUUGGGGGUCAAACCUCGGUGCCGAAGUUAACACAUUAAGCAUUCCGCCUGGGGAGUACGCACGCAAGUGUGAUACUCACAGGAAUUGACGGGGACCCGCACAAGCAGCGGAGCAUGUGGUUUAAUUCGAUGCAACGCGAAGAACCUUACCAGGGCUUGACAUGUGGGUGAAAGGUAUAGAGAUAUACCCCUCUCUUUAUGAGACAUCCAUACAGGUGGUGCAUGGUUGUCGUCAGCUCGUGUCGUGAGAUG
rnacentral:rRNA from 1 species